UCAUCCCUUCAAGGAACACACUCCGAUUCAAUCACCGGCAUUGCUUAGAAGCAAUAACCCGGGUGCAUCGCUCCAUCGUGAGUACUCCAAUCACAAUCAGACUCUUAGCUCUACAGCGAGAUGGUCCACUUCGACACAUCUGUACAUUCUAGUUCACUUAAGAGCAUAGUCCCCAAACCUCACGUGGCUUUCCAUUAGCUCAAUGUCUCAUAAAGAGCACUUCAUCUUUUUGAUACCAUAUGCCACGGUCAACAUCAAUCGCUCUCACAACGAGUUCACAUAAACACUCCGUUCAUUAAUCCAAGCCAAACUCACGGACGGAGUUAUCAGCCAAACCGCUCACCUCGGCUUCCACAA
rnacentral:lncRNA from 1 species